AGGACGAACGCUGGCGGCGUGCUUAACACAUGCAAGUCGAGGGGCGGGAGCGAAUCCGGUCACCGGCGAAACGGGUGCGUAACACGUGAGCGACCUGCCUUCUUGCGGGGGAUAGCCGGCCCAACGGCCGGGUAAUACCGCAUAUUGCACUGAUCGGGCAUCCGGUUGGUGGAAAACCUCGGGGCAACCCGUGGGGCGAGGAGAGGGGCUCGCGGCCUAUCAGCUAGUUGGCGGGUAACGGCCCACCAAGGCGACGACGGGUAGC
rnacentral:rRNA from 1 species